rnacentral:lncRNA from 1 species
CUAUUUCAAAGGAGGAGGAGGCAACAUACACCUUGCAAUCUCAAGAACGCUUCCUAAUAGAGAAUAUUGAACAGCUUGAGAUGGAAAAAGAAAAUUUAGUGAAAGAAGCUAAAAGUUACCUUGAUAGAGGUUUAAGAAAAUUAGCUAAGGUGCAUCUGAGAAAAAAAAUGGAGCUAGAGAAAACCAUCGAAAAAAGAGUGUUAAUACUGGAAAUAUUCAAAGCUUGAUGAGCAGAGUGAAAGAAGUAGAUUCUAACAGUCAGGUGUUCGAUACUUAUCAGCAAGGCGUCUUCGCAUUGGAAUCUAAAAUUAAAGAAGCCGGUCUCAACAUCGAUAAAAUUGACGAUACGAUGGGAAAAAUUGAACAGGCUCUAGAAGACAAUGACGAAAUUGAGUCUACACUAUCUAAAGUCAUAAACUCGCCGUCAGAUGCUGAAUAUGAGGCUGAAUUAGCGGCUCUUUUGCUAGAUGAAUUAGCGCCAGUUCCCGAUCAUAGUCCAACCCGUCUACCAUCUUCUCUAUUAGGAAAUCAAGUUGAGGAUAUAGAUACGUCAGAGGUAUCACACAAGCCGAAAAAAGUCGCAGCUGAAGCAACUGGAUGAUAUUUGUGAUUGUCAUUGUUCAAGAAGGAUUCAAGAUCUUUUCGUCACUUAAAAUAAUUAAUGCUCAUCAUAUUUUUAGAAUUAAAUGACAAUCAAAG